rnacentral:rRNA from 1 species
AUUGAACGCUGGCGGCAGGCCUAACACAUGCAAGUCGAACGAGUGGCGGACGGGUGAGUAAUGUCUGGGAAACUGCCCGAUGGAGGGGGAUAACUACUGGAAACGGUAGCUAAUACCGCGUACCAUCGGCUGUGCCCAGAUGGGAUUAGAUUGUAGGGGGGGUAACGGCUCACCUAGGUGACGAUCCCUAGCUGGUGUGAGAGGAGGACCAGUCACACUGGAACGGAGACACGGUCCAGACGCCUACGGGAGGCAGCAGUGGGGAAUAUGGGACAAUGGGCGCAAGCCUGAUGCAGCCAGUCCGCGUGUAUGAAGAAGGCCUUCGGGUUGUAAAGUACUUUCAGCGGGGAGGCGUUACCCGCAGAAGAAGCACCGGCUAACUCCGUGCCAGCCGCCGCGGUAAUAC